UACGGAGGGUGCGAGCGUUGUCCGGAAUCACUGGGCGUAAAGGGCGCGUAGGUGGCGCGGGAAGUCAACGGUGAAAGUUCAGGGCUCAACCCUGAAUCGGCCGUCGAUACUCCCGGGCUCGAGCACUGUAGAGGCAGGUGGAAUUCCGGGUGUAGCGGUGGAAUGCGUAGAGAUCCGGAAGAACACCGGUGGCGAAGGCGGCCUGCUGGGCAGUAGCUGACACUGAGGCGCGACAGCGUGGGGAGCAAACAGG
rnacentral:rRNA from 1 species